rnacentral:rRNA from 1 species
CCUACGGGUGGCAGCAGUGGGGAAUCUUCCGCAAUGGGCGAAAGCCUGACGGGGCAACGCCGCGUGAUCGCAUGAAGGCCUUCGGGUUGUAAAGAUCUGUUGACAGGGACGAAUAAGCAAUGCGAAUAGUUUUGUGUAUGACGGUACCUGUUUAGAAAGCUCCGGCUAACUACGUGCCAGCAGCCGCGGUAAUACGUAGGGAGCAAGCGUUGUCCGGAAUUACUGGGCGUAAAGGGCGCGUAGGUGGGCGCUUAAGUCAGGUGUGAAAACUCCGGGCUCAACCUGGAGACUGCACUUGAAACUGGGGGCCUUGAGUGGGCGAGAAGAAGGCGGAAUGCGUGGUGUAGCGGUGAAAUGCAUAGAUAUCACGCAGAACCCCGAUUGCGAAGGCAGCCUUCCGGCGCCCUACUGACGCUGAGGCACGAAAGUGCGGGGAUCGAACAGGAUUAGAUACCCGUGUAGUC